UACAGAGGGUGCGAGCGUUGUCCGGAAUCACUGGGCGUAAAGGGCGCGUAGGUGGCGCGACAAGUCAGUGGUGAAAGUUCGACGCUCAACGUCGAAUCGGCCACUGAUACUGUUGGGCUUGAGCACUGUAGAGGCUAAUGGAAUUCCGGGUGUAGCGGUGGAAUGCGUAGAGAUCCGGAAGAACACCGGUGGCGAAGGCGGUUAGCUGGGCAGUUGCUGACACUGAGGCGCGACAGCGUGGGGAGCGAACAGG
rnacentral:rRNA from 1 species